AGGCUGUGUAGGAAUUUUGAUCUGGUUUCCCCGCUGGAACUUCUUCAGCCUUAUAAUCUUCCAGUGUCAUGAAUAGAAUUCCGUGAAGUGAGAAUUGAUUAGAAUUGUUGACUUCGUCAUUCAACAGCUCAUUAUCUUAUUGUGAAACUUCGUCUUUAAUUCACUGAAGUACAUCAAUCCACACUCACUAAAAAAAAUGUUAUUCCAGAAAGUGAACCGCUAAGUGCAAGAAGCUUGGGGAUGAAAUCACAUAUCUUGUUCAUCUUUUUAAGUCUGCAAUCACUUGGUGUUUGCCA